rnacentral:snoRNA from 2 species
CUUCUGUGAUGAGAAAAUACAGAUGAAGAGUCUUAUCUAAUCCAUUCCAUUAACCAUGGGGACAAUCGAGGCAUUUGUCUGAGAGAA